CCCUAUUGACUUACGUGGAAAAGGAAAAAUUAUAGAAUAGUCCCUUAACUUCUGCAACUAUUACAAUUCAGUCCAGCUAUUUGGAAAAUGAUAUCGAAUUUCGAUACUUGAGCCGAAUGAACGUGAGAUAGAGUAUAACCGAAUGAUGGCAUGUUAUGAGGGAUUGGAGUGGAGAUUGAUGUGGCGUGCUUUACAUAUUUUUCUUGAGUAUUUCGAGGUUCAGCAUUUGUUACGAACCCUCAUGUAUACUAUCAUAUUCUGACGUGUUAUGGGGGUGGAUGUAUAGCCUACAGGCUAGGCACGUGUUAUUUGUUGGAUUAGCUCUCAUGAUUGUUUGGCGUGUUAUUGGUUGGAUUAGCUCUUAUGAGCGUUUGGUGUGUUUUCAUUGAACUAUUUGUGUACUCGUAUCUGUAAGUCGUUCAUCAGGUCGUAAAUUAUUGUACUAUAACUUGUUUAAUGACUUUGAAUGGCAUGACAUGUACUUGACAUCUUGAAUUAACUCCGUUGUAGACAUGUAUGCUUUCCAGAAAUUAUUAUAUGAGCUUUGAAUUAAACUUGUAAUUCACUGGUUUGCAAUUGUAGAUGACAAGAAACAUUUGUUGUUGACUAUAUUUGAUUAAAUUGUUAUAUUUACUUCGGUAAGAUUUAUUAUUUUUGUCUGUUGAACUUACUAAGCUUCAAUAAGCUUACUUGUGUUAGUUUCAUUUUCUUGUAUAUAUCUUUUAGUAAAAUGGGCGAUUGGAUCAGCACUCAAGUCACACUAUCCAUCCGAUUUCAAUAGUUUUUGAACAUUUAUUUUGGAUUAUAUGGCAUGUAAUAGGUCGUUAUGUCGAUGACCUCAUUUGAUAUGUAUAUAUAUAUAUCUAUAAGGCAUGUAAUUGGUUAAUCUUUUGAUCAAUGUUGUCUUGUAAUGUGAUGAUGGUUACAUGGUUGCUAGGUUUGGUGCUGAAUAUAGUUUAUUUUGUGAA